UUGAGGAGUGCGAGCUGGGAAUCAGAAUAGGAGCAGUCUUGGCAAAUAAAAUAUUGCAAGAGGACAACUUUAGCUGGAGGGACGCACUACAGUGAGAGGUAACCGUUUGCUACGAAGCCCUGGAACACAAGAGCUGCUGUACUGGAUCAGAGCAUUCAUCCAUCAAGUUUGUUAUCUUGCCUCCAGCAGAAACCAACACAAGCUGUUUCAGAGAGACAUUCAGAAGUGCUUCCUUAAUGCACCUACCAGUUGUGCAGCUACGCACAAAUUGAUGGUAACAAGAAAAGCUACAAGCAGGUGAAAAUUAUACUUGACAGGGGCCAUGUAGGAGAUCACCAUGGGAGCAGAUUAUCCCUCAUCUGCCUGCUGUGAGGUUUGUUGAAGCUUCUGUUGGCCAUUAC